GGAAGCGUGCCUGAGAAAGGAUUACUUUGAUAUAGUAAACACGGAGACGCCAUCUCCCACUUCCC
rnacentral:tRNA from 1 species